UCAAAGAGAACUAAGAUUUAACCCACGGUUUACCGCGGGCAAUCGGUUUAUUUGGUUUUUAUACUAAAUAUUUGAGUAAAUUUGAUAUCCUAAACUUAUAAAUAUAAUUU
rnacentral:sRNA from 1 species